rnacentral:hammerhead_ribozyme from 1 species
AUCCAGAUGACGAGUCCCCAAUAGGACGAAACGUGCGUUAACCUGGAU